UGGCCUGUGAACUUGUUCACCCUUCUCCUUACUUCUCAUUCAACCUUCGUUUUCUUGAUUCUUCUCUUCCUCUUUCUCUUCAUUAUAACUCUUCCCCACCCAUCACACUUGAUCACUUCAUCACUGAUGAUGUAGAUAGAGAGUGAAAAGAGACCACUGUGUCCACUCAGAAAGAGAUUGCUCACUCCUACUUCCUUCGUCUUCGAAUUCUUUGAUUCAUGGGUGAAGAGGGAGAAGAGGUGUCAAUAGAGAAGGAAAAAAGCAUGGCAGUUUAUGCAAAUCAGUGCUUCUAUGCUACUUCCUCUGCAAAUUGGCCUCUUUUAAGACACCAUAAUUCAUCUUCAAUGCCUCCCUUUAAGUAAAACACGAAAACAAAACAAACCUUUUCUCACCUUUUUCUUCUUAGAUCUUAAUAUACAUUGCCUAAACAAAAUAAAGGGAUCAAAUUUAAGCUCCUUGAUCUAAUAAGAUCCGUCCUUUGAACUCAUGAAGAGACUUGGCAGCUCCGAUUCUCUGGGUGCUCUCAUGACCAUUUGUCCACCAACAGGUUAAUUCAAUUAAAGCUUCCUUUUUUAUUUUUUACUUUUCUCAGACAGAUAUAAUAGAUCCAUGGUGCGUGUUUCGUGUUUCCUGUUUUUUAAAUUACCCCAAAAUUCCUUACUCUGUACUUUGUUUUUGCAUUACAAUUUACAACUCAUCGUGUUAUGUUAUGAUGUGUGCUUUUGUUUCGAGAGACAAACAACAAAACCAGUCGCACUAACCAUGAUUAUGUCCGAUUUGCAUUCAGACGAACACAGUCCGAGGAACAACAACCACGUGUAUGGCAGGGAGUUCCAGUCUAUGUUGGAAGGACUAGACGAUGAAGGGUGUGUGGAGGAACCAGGACACCACGCUGAGAAGAAACGAAGACUGAGCGUGGAUCAGGUGAAAGCUUUGGAGAAGAACUUCGAAGUAGAGAACAAACUGGAACCUGACAGAAAGGUGAAGCUGGCACAAGAACUUGGCUUGCAACCAAGACAGGUUGCGGUUUGGUUCCAAAACCGUCGAGCCAGAUGGAAAACGAAGCAAUUGGAAAGAGACUAUGGAGUCCUCAAAGCCAAUUAUGAUUCCCUCAAACUUAACUACGACACCCUCCAACAAGACAACGAAGCCUUACUCAAAGAGGUAGAAACAUUUGCAUUCAUCACUAAUUUAUUAUUAACUUGUAAAAGUUUUGUCUUUAAUUUCUGGAAAGAGUAUUAAAAGGUUGGUUUGUUGUGUUGGCAGAUAAAGGAAUUGAAAUCAAGGUUGCCGCUGCAAGAAGAGAGCAACACUGAAAGCGAUGUUUCGGUGAAGGAAGAGAUGAUAACACUGCAAGAUAGUAACCCACUUUGUCAAACCGCCAUUCCUGGAUCCGAAUGCUUCAACAAGAGUGAUGAAGUUUUAGGGGCUUUCAAAGACGGCUCUUCCGACAGCGACUCCAGCGCGAUCUUGAACGAAGAGAAUGCCAACAACAACCACAACAGUCCCAACAACGCCACGAUUUCAUCUUCUGGGGUUAUGCAAAGUCAGAG
rnacentral:lncRNA from 1 species